CAAGCAAAGCCGUAGAUAUCCUCUUCCUGCUACACAUAGUAUUAGCCUACGUAAGGUCAUUACGGCGCCGUUUCCCUUUUUAAUUGGCGUAGUUCAACUCAUCAUCCACCCAAGUUCAUUUCGUUCAAAGCUAUAAAUAACCCCUCAAACCAUUCAACUUUCCCACCACCACUCCUCACUCCUUCAACUCAUUAACCUCUCUCUCUCUCUCUCCUUCAACUCAUUAACCUCUCUCUCUCUCUCUCUCUCUCUCAUUUUCAUCCGCAAAUGGCGAACCGUAGAAGCCUCUUUUCUCUCUCACUUAUCUUUGUGUUCAUGAUCAACUCAGCCAUAGCCACUCCAGUCACAUACAAUGUGGCCAGUUUAGGAGCCAAAGCAGAUGGCAAGACUGACUCCACAAAAGCCUUCCUCUUUGCAUGGGCUAAAGCUUGUGCCUCGAUGAAUCCCGGUGUCAUUUAUGUGCCGGCAGGAACGUUCUUUCUUCGCGAUGUGGUGUUCAGUGGGCCUUGCAAGAACAAUGCCAUCACCUUCCGCAUUGCCGGAACCCUUGUGGCCCCGUCGGAUUACCGGGUCAUCGGUAAUGCAGCUAACUGGAUUUUCUUUCACCAUGUAAACGGGGUUACCAUAUCAGGUGGAAUUCUUGACGGCCAAGGCACGGCCUUGUGGGCUUGCAAGGCCUCUCAUGGCGAGAGUUGUCCCAGCGGAGCAACGGUAAUUAAUUCACUACUUUAAAUAUCAUAUUCAUGACACCAUUAAAUAUCAAAUUCAUGACACCAUUAUUUUGUGCUUCAUUAUUAGUGAGAAUUUUAAAGGUCAACGUACGUACAAUUUGCUUUAUUAUUUGCUACCAAUUGAAUUGAGGGUUUAUAAAAUAAGUUUAAACUCUACAGAACGUAAUCAAAUGGACAUGAUAAAUUGUACCACAAGCUUAGCUUGAUCAAGUAAUUUCGUGUAUAUAUGUGCAGACUUUGGGUUUUUCCGACUCAAACAACAUCGUGGUGAGUGGAUUGGCAUCCCUAAACAGCCAAAUGUUCCACAUAGUCAUCAACGACUGCCAAAAUGUGCAAAUGCAAGGUGUCAGGGUUUCUGCUUCCGGGAACAGCCCUAACACCGAUGGCAUUCAUGUCCAAAUGUCAUCUGGUGUCACAAUCCUCAACUCCAAGAUUGCAACCGGUGACGAUUGUGUCUCAAUUGGCCCCGGAACCUCAAAUUUGUGGAUAGAAGGCGUUGCUUGUGGACCUGGCCAUGGAAUUAGGUACGACAUCAAAAUUAUAUAUUUAUCCAUGAUUGAUCAAACUAGCUAAAUGCAUACUAUUUCAUAAUAUAUGUUAUAAUGUAUAUCUUUUUUCUUCGUUGCUUAAUGACAUUUGAACUUAGGACAUCUUUCAAUAAAGUGGAGAUUAAUUGGUUGCUAGUAGAGAUUCAUUGCCUACAAAAAGUAUAUCUUUCUUUUGGGUGGAUGUUCUAGUUGUAAAUUUAACAUUGCUUUAUUUGAUGGUUCAGCAUUGGAAGUCUAGGCAAGGAGCAAGAAGAGGCCGGUGUACAAAAUGUAACAGUUAAAACGGUUACCUUUACUGGUACUCAGAAUGGUCUAAGAAUCAAGUCAUGGGGGAGGCCAAGCACUGGGUUUGCUAGAAAUAUUCUUUUCCAACAUGCUACAAUGGUCAAUGUCGAAAAUCCUAUUGUCAUAGAUCAACAUUAUUGCCCCGACAACAAAGGGUGCCCUGGUCAGGUAAGAUAUCAUUCUUGCUCUAACGGUCAAUUCCCAGAGUUUAAUAUUACAACUAAAUUUUCUCUUCUUCACUUUCAUAGUGUAACGUUUUUGAUAAAAACGUUGGCAUCGCCAAAUUAUAACUGUCUAAUUUCGAAACAUAUCAAAAGCUUUCUUGGGCUUCCACCUAGAAGAGCCAAUAAUUUUAGACCCAAAGCAAAUCCAAUAACUCCUUCUUCCAUGGGCUUGCUCUCCUACUACUUACAAAGGUCGAGCCUUGCCCAUUGUAACCUUUGUAACUUAUUAAUUUCAUUGUAUGUGCAAUGAGAUUGAGGGUUGUAGCUUAAGUGGUUAACAAUAUUUACUCAUGUAUUCGAAGUUCUAGAUUUAAUUCCCCUCUUUUCCAAUACCAUUUUUAUCAAAAUGACUUCAUCGUAGCUUAGCCAAAAAAGCAUUAAACUUCCCAUUAAGCCGAAUUACCAUGCUAUAAUGCUUGUUCACCUUCUGUUUUAUCAAAAGCUGGAAAUCUGACUUCCUAUUGUUUUUUUUCUUUUGUCAAUUUUGUUUUUCGAUAGGUUUCCGGAGUUCAAAUUAGCGAUGUGACAUACGAAGACAUACACGGUACAUCAGCAACAGAAGUUGCAGUAAAAUUUGAUUGCAGUCCCAAGCACCCUUGCAGCGAGAUCAAAUUGGAGGAUGUGAAGCUUACUUACAAGAACCAAGCAGCUGAGUCUUCAUGUAGCCAUGCAGAUGGAACAACUGAGGGUGUGGUUCAGCCUACAAGUUGUUUGUAGAGUGGAAAAAUAUGAACUGCUUGUAGAAGUAUUGAAAUCCAAAAGUUUGCCCUCCAGUACUAAGGACAAAUGAAAAGUGAAUUAUACGAUUUAUAUAGGAAGAAUGAGCUUGUGUUGUUGGCAGCCUACUUGGGCUUCCCUUGAGCCUGGCCGUUCAAUUAGUUUAGUUUGUUCAAACUCGUCCACUUCGAUGGGUGUUUAUGUUAUGAAUUGUUGUAAGAUUAUGUUCGGGAUACGUUAAAUUUAUAAGAUUAAAUUUUAUGUUGAUGGCUAAUGUGGCAUUUGACAUAGGAUUCAAUAUUCUAUCAAUUUAAUUCACAAUUUUAUUAUAAUCGAAGCACACAUUAAAUAGUAAAAAUUUGGUUCAAGAAACAAAAGGAUUUGAAGUCUCGCAUGAACUUUUUGGUUGGAGCAUUUUCUCAUGUCAAAUUUUACCCGUUAAAAAUUUAUUAUGAUAUUUUAACAUUUCGGUUGGAGUAUUUUUUUCAUGUCAAAUUUGACCCGUUAAAAAUUUACUAUGGUAUUUUAGCAUUUCGGUUGGAGAUGUAUAAAUCUUAAAAAUGCAUUCAAGAUGCAUUUUUGUUUCUUAAGCUUUGAGCUUUAGGUAAUUAACUUUAAAUGUUGUUGGGCACCUUGCACUAGUUGAUUAAAGAAAAAUAGACCCGAAGCAAGAUUCCUUGUAGUUGCCAAUUCGAAGUUUUCUUUAUCGCUACAUACUUACUGGUCUACAAGUUCUCUCUCUAAUACAUAAUUUGACAUAAAUAAAUACAGUGAAGAGUGCAUUGACUAAACAGAAAAAAAAACAAAAAAAGCAGCACGUAAGCAAUUACGUGCAUUUGGUGUAAAAGCUAAAGGCCUCUGAUUUAUGUAAGCAGUUACGGUAAUCAUAUUAUAUUAUAUGUAUCUUAGUUCUGCAAUUGUAACAGGAAUAAUAUUGUUUUGUUAUCCCCAAUCAAUAAUACAAUGAUACGUGAAAAAGUUAUUUAACAUGUCAUUGCGUUAUUAGCUGGGGAUAGCAAACAGUGCUAUCCCCAUUACAUGAAAGUCUUUCUCCUGCAUAUCCUAUUAUACUAUUAUAAAACUCAAUUGGUCAAUCAUAGUGAAAAAAAUAUAGUGAAAGAAAAAAGAAGAAGAAGAAAAUAUCAAUUAAGCCCCUCUUAUAUUGAACACUUCAAUAAUAAAAUAAAAAUUGCAUAUGGAGUAAAGUCAGUCAGUUAAGAUAGUAUGCUAGUUCUUUUGCACCUGAGUUCAAUUUCCUUCCCCGAACAUUUUCAAAUAAAUAAUAAUAAAAUAAAAUGUGAAUUUGAUAGUCAAUGUCGUAGUAAAAUAUGGUUUUUUAGUAUCAAUAUUAAGGAAAGCCAUUGUUCUUUCUAGCAGAAUGCCCGCCACUGCUAGAGAGAGAGAGAGAGAGAGAGCGGAAUGGCAGAAGUGAGUAACAAGCAGGUGAUACCGAGGGAGUAUGUCACUGGCUUUCCCAAAGAGUCAGACUUGUACGUGAAUAGCACUGCUACUAUCAAGUUGAAGCUUUCUGAGGCCCCCGAGCAUGAGGGUUCUUCAAAGAAACUAGUUCUAGUGAAGAAUCUUUACUUGUCCUGCGAUCCCUACCAACGACUAUUUAUGGAAAGAAUCGAAGGCCUCAGCAGCCAAUCCACUUCCUCCUAUACGCCUGGUUCUGUAAGCAAAACCCAUCAUAUAUCUUUUCCUUUCAAUUUCUGUAAACAUAUAUACCAAAUGUUAUGCUCAAAUAUAUAUUAAUUGUUAAACAUUGUUCCCUUAAAAAAAACAAUUUAUUGCAAAAUUGGAAUAUACAAGAGGUAACUCUGCACAAAUAUUAAUGACAAGAUGAGGUGGCUAAAAGCACUGUUAAUGUCUAUCAGCGCGCAAUGAGCACGAAUAACUGUGAUUAUUAAGUAGUAGGAGCUGAUAGUUGUUUUUGUUACCACAUCCUAUGCCACAAAUAUUAAUUAUUACCAAUUAUUCUUCUAGUAAUGCUUGUUUUUUUGUUGAUGGCAACAUUGGGAGGAGGGAAUCAAAUACAAGUUUGAUCAUAUGAUUAAUUUAAUUUUGUUGGUGUAAACGUGCAGCCAAUAUACGGGUAUGGAGUGGCUAAAGUUUUGGACUCUGGGCACCCAGAUUUGAAGGCAGGUGACUUAGUUUGGGGGACUACCUAUUGGGAAGAGUACAGCCGAAUCCCUGAACCCGAAGGCCUGAUCAAAAUCCAGCACACUGAUGUACCUCUAUCCUAUUAUACUGGAAUUCUUGGUAACAAGUCAAACCUAUUUUAGAUCAUGAUGAUAUGUGUUGGUUUAGAUACGUAAGUGUAUUUUUUGUAAUUUCAUUUCAGGUAUGCCUGGUUUGACCGCUUAUGUUGGUUUCUAUGAAAUUUGUUCUCCUAAGAAAGGAGAACAUGUCUUCAUUUCAGCAGCAGCUGGUGCUGUUGGUCAGCUUGUUGGACAAUUUGCAAAAUUAAUGGGUUGUUAUGUUGUUGGAAGUGCUGGCAGUAAGGAAAAGGUACGAACUUGAGAAAUCUUUGAACUUCAAAUUAAUAUUAUCUACACCAUUUUUUCUUGUUUGGGUUGUAUUUUGCUGUUGUUAUUUGGGCCAACUUUGGUGUUGGUUUGGUUUGGGGCCUCUGUUUGUGCGCUGGGACUACAAUGAGUGGAAAGUUAUAAGGGGUAAGUUAUAAGGGGUUCACUUUAUAGCCAUCAGAUCAAUCCAAGGGCUGGGGAGAAUUGAGAUAAAGUUUCACAAUUGGGUAGGUGAGGAACCCAAACCCGAAUUGAAUAUCCAGCACGUCCAAAAAGAAGAAGAAGAGGGAAACACGUUCGAAAAAGAAGAAGAAGAGGCAAGUUCGAAGUUUGAACAGAAAGAACUCAUCUCUCUAAAACCCAGAGGUCUGAGAUACCCAAUGAAGGCAACGGCUAACGACAGUUGAAGGCAACGAUUCGCCACUCCGUUCUCCAGACCCUGAAAAAGUAUUUAUUUGGAGUAGAAGGGGCAAAGGUGUGGAUUCCAAAUCAAUGAAGGGGCGAAGCAGUGGAAGGGGAAGGGGAGAAGCUAUAAUCGUUGGAAGUGGUAGGUUCCAUUUGUGGAGCAAAGAAACAGAAAGACCCCACACAGACACCUUGCAAUAACCAGCAUUUGGUGAGUAAUUUAUGGAAUUUGAGUUUAGGGUUAGAGUAAUGGUUUUCCUCAAUUUGUAGCAUAAAUUUUGUUGGAUUUGGCAUCUCUUCGUUGUGCUUGAGUUGCAUGUUAAUUUUUGCUUAGGUAUAUGUUAAAAAAAGAAUGAAAAUCAAGUCAAUAACAAGUGAAUAACAUGUCAAUAAUGAUAUGAAUAAGAUAAUGGUGUUGAAUUGGAGGAGGCCCUCAAAACCUUCCACAUUUGAAGCAGUGCAUAGUGCAGAUUAAGAAGAGGCGGUAGAAUAUAUAUAUAUAUAUAUAUAUAUAUAUUUUAUGAAGUAAAUAUGAUUUCCUUUGUUACUAAAUUUGCCUGAGAAACAUUUGAACAGAUAAUAAUAAACUCAUGAAUAGAAGUGCAAAGCAUUUGAUGAGUAAUUUAAGGAAUUUGAGUUUAGGGUUAGAGUAAUGGUUUUCCCCAAUUUGUACCAUCAAUGUUGUUGGAUUUGGCAUCUCUUAUUUGUGCUUCAAUUGCAUGUUAAUUUUUGCUUGGGUAUAUGUUAAAAAACGAAUGAAAAUAGAGUCAAUCACAUGUCAAUAACAUCUCAAUAACAUGUCAAUAACAUGUUAGUAAUGAUAUGAAUAAGAUAAUGGUGUUAAAUUGGAGGAGGCGCUCAAAACCUUCCACAUUUGAAGCAGUGCAGAGUGAAGAGUACCUCUCUGGCCCUAGAAUUUAUAUAUUUUGUGAAAUAAAUAUGAUUUCAUUUGUUACUAAAUUUGCCUAUGAGAAAUGAGAACAGAUAAUAAUAAACUCAUGAAUAAAAGUGCAAAGCAUUUGAAAUGAAGGUUGAUCUAUGACGAUUGUGGGUGACUGAAGAAAAAGCUAGAAAGAAAGAAGGAUGUGGCAAUUGCUUAGCAAGCAGAUAGCAGAGUAGAUGCUUUGCUUUGCUUCCUUCCACUAUAUUUCUUAUUUAUUUAUUUUGUGUUGUGUAUGAGAUGACAAUAAUUGUCAUGUGUGUGAAGUGCAGAACUUGCCUACAUUGCACUCACACGAGUAUGGAUCCAUAAAUAAAACACGUGAAAUUGUUUGUAAUUCACAUAAUCAUUGCAUUAACAGGUAUUUGCACAAAAUUUGUCAUAUUGCUUUGAUGAUGUUAAAGCCUAUGAUCAGUAAUCCGUAUGCUCAUGUACUUUGUAAAAUUUGUAAUGUGCCUGGUUGACUAGUUGUGAUUGUGCAAAUACGUGGCAGUAUAUGUGUUCACGUUAUUUCACAUUGUAUUUGAGGAAAUGGGAUCCAACGUGGAGCUGGUAUGGCCAGAGGCAGAGGCAUAUUCGUCACGGGUGAACAACUGCUCACAUGCAAAUUCAUCUCUAGCUGCAAUUCGAGCGAAGUUGAGUGCGGAACAAUUAGAACAAUUCAAGACAUCAUGCUUUGGCCAUCUUCUGAAUAUAGAUAAGAUUCAGUUUAGCGGGCAGAUUGUGCAUGGGGCUGUGUUGCGUAGAGUAGCGGGGCAGGGUGUGAAAGACUUGGAUGGACUGAGUUUCUUAUUAGGGUGUGACGUUGCUCAGUUCACUCGUCAGGAUUUCUGUUUGAUCACAGGGCUUCGUUUUGGGGAAGUGCCUGAAGUUUCCAGUGGAGAGAGUGAUGUAAUCAGACUUCAGAAAAGAUAUUUUAUAGACGAAGGAAUUACAUGCAAUGCUUUAGAAGAAGCAUUUAUGGGGUGCACAGAGGAAGAUGACAUCUACAAGCUAGCUCUUGUUUACUUUGCUGAGUUAGUGGUUUUGGGAAGGGACAAACAUUUGAACAUCAAUCUAAAUUACCUGACCCUUGUAGAGGACUUGGAUGCGUUCAACAGGUAUCCGUGGGGUUCGGUGUCCUUUGACAAAACCCAAGACAGUCUAUUUUCUGCACCAACAAAGUAUGUGAAAAGCUUGCAAAAUGAAGAGGGAAGAGGGAAGGGGAAAAGUAAGGUAACGGGAACAAGCCGGAGAAAUGAGAAGGGCAGGAAGGAUAAGCAUGGUGAAGCGCAAAGGAGUGGCUGGAGUUUUAAAGGUUUCACGUAUGCUUUCCAGGUACAUGGUAAUAAUGUUCAUGUGAGUUAUGUUUUGUUUUUCUUUAAAACAUAAAUAAUGACUUUUGUCCUGUGAAUUGUGUAGAUUUGGGUAUAUGAAUUAAUUCCUAGAAUGGCGGACCUGAAUUACUGCAAGGUUGUUGAUCCGACCGCUGUCCCGCGUAUUUUGCGAUGGAGAACUACUACGUCUGUUCCAGAGAUGAGAAAGUUGAACAAUUAUUUUUUCCAGAGCAAAGAGGUUUGGUUUGCAGCCCUUGGAACUAUUGAUAAGAUUGAAUGAAAUUUUGAAGUAGAAUGAUUUAAUAUGACUGUGGUUUGUAUUCUGAAACAGUCAGUUCAGUUGCGGGCGCUAUGUCCGAGUGAAGAGGAAAUGAGACAGCCAUAUUGGAGUUGGCCACAGGAUCGCCCUGAUGAGACAGCCAUAUUGGAGUUGGCCACAGGAUCGCCCUGCUGUUGUCUCGGCAGAGUCAAUUCCUUCUUUAUGUGGUGAUCUUGAUCAGUUGAACAAGGUGGUAAGCUUGUUGAGGUCCGAGUUGUUUCAAGUAAAGCGGGAAAAAGACGUCCUUCACUUAAAGGUCAUACGGAUGGAAAAACUGUUGGACCAAUGUUUAGGUCCUCAGUUUGAGCAGGAAGUAAGGAGGGACCUAGCUUUACUGAAACAGAGGACGAAGCGUUGUGUCGUCUCACAUCUAUUUAGGGGAUAUCGGGAAUUGGAUGACAUUCAAUGGGAUGAAGGGCCAAGUAACAGAAAUGAGGGAGAGGAAAAGGAAGAUGAAGGGAUUGAAGGGGGUGAAGGGCCAAGUAAUAGAAAUGAGGGAGAGGAAAAGGAAGAGGAGGGGAUUGAAGGAGAGGAAAAGGAAGAGGAGGGGAUUGAAGGGGGUGAAGUGCAAGGAAUACCAAGUGAGGUAGAGGAAGGGCAAAGGAAAAGAAGUGAAGGAGAGCAAGUGCAAGUAAAAAGUAGCAAAGGAGAGGAAGCCCAAAGACAGAGCAGUGAGGGAGAGGAAGUGAAAAGAAAAAGCAGUAAGGGAGAGAAACUGCAAAGGAAAAAAAGGGAGGGCAAGGAAGUGAAAACACAAAGAAGUGAGGAAAAGGAAGUGCAAAGAAACCAAUGUGAGAAAGAAGAUAAUGAAGUUAUGUUGCUUGGGGAUGACAUUGGCGAGAGCACGGAGGGGACACUGCUUGAGUUUACUGUCGGGGACAUUGAUUUGGAUCAACCUACAGCUGUGCUAUCUCAGUUGAACGUGUGGUUGAAUGAUAAAGGUAAAGCUGUGGCACAAGGGGUCCAAUUACGGAAAAGGAAGAGGAUCAUUCCUAUGUGGAAGAUCAUUGAAGGCAUUGAAUUGGUUCCAAAAACUGGGGCACAGACAACCGGACUGAAGAUGUUAGACCCAAUGAAGGCGAUUCCGCAUGAUGAUCUGGUGAAUUUGCUGAAACUUUGUUGGGAAUGGCGCCAGGACCCAAAGUAAGUCCCUUGCAAUUAUAAGAUAGAAGCACGACUGUAUAUAAUUUUUAAUAUACAGUGUUCUAAAACUGUUUUAUAUUCAUAGUUUAGUGAUGCAAUUUGGCAACGUGGAAGCUGAGAUUGAAUUCUUCGCUUCCCUCGUGAAAGCUGAUGGUUGGCUGAAAGGAGAUGUAAGUGUAAUUGAUUAUGCAUUUGUUUUAAUGUAUAUAGAUUAUGAGAUUGACAAGAACAACAUGUUGCAGCACAUUGAGUUGGGGUUGUAUCUCAUCCGGAAGCGACAACAACAGUUUGAGGAAGUAGAAAUAGCGGACUGGACAACGACAGAUGUUUUUUUUAUGGUAUGUCAUCGGCCUUGACCAAGUGCCGUUAAUAAUUACACAUUUUCCAUACAGACAAUAGUGGAGGUGUUUAACCAUUGAUUGUUUUGUAUUUCACAGAAUCACAUUCGAACUUGCUUUGCGGAUAAUAAAAGAAAAAAACAGCAGCUUGGGUGGAAAAUCAGAAAAAGUUUACUAAACGUUGUAAAUGGGAAGGUUCCUCCGUGUGGGAUGGAUUGGCAGAACGUCUAUACGGUGUAUACCCCAGUUAUGUUGACGAAGUACAAGCAUUGGGUGGCUGUAAUGAUUGAUCUGGUAUUGUGUGAAAUCAAAGUGUACGAUUCAAAGGUUUCACUAAUUCCAGAUGACAUCGUAAAGGAAGAACUCGCCCCGCUAUCAAUUAUGCUUCCAAAUCUUCUCAACACCAUCGACUUUUAUGAAGAAGGUGUUUAUGCAAACAAUUGCAUGCGAGAUUGGUGGUGUCCGUGGCCAAUAGAGCGUGUGGAUGUUCCACAACAGUCUAAUGAGUAAGCACAACUUGCAAUUUAAUUUUAUUACUUUCAAUUGUCAAUUACGUUAGAAUGUCAUUAGUUGAAUUGAUCGAGUUCUUGUUUUGCUUCAGAGGCGAUUGUGGCAUGUUUGUGUUAAAGUACAUUGAGCUUAUCAGCGCUCAGCUUUCGUUAGCUAUUUGCACCUCGCACAACAUGCCUUUUUUUCGGUUGAAAUUGGCUGCGGAGAUAACAAGGGGAGAUGCUUACUUCCCAUGAUAUUGGUUGAAGAUGACAAAUGGUACAUGAGAAGGUUUUGGGAAUGUCCAUUCUCAAACUAAUGUAAAUACACAAUAGAGACGUACGUGUCCUUUUCGAAUUCUACCGCUAACUCCUUCAUGACAUUUACAUGUUUGUUAACCAAACUGCAUUGAAUUGGAAUUUUAAGACUGCAUAUGUUAAUUGGGAUUUGAAGAUGGCUUUUUAAGUGUAUUACACCAUUGCAAAGUGAUAUGUCAUUGUUGAUGCAAGCCACCAUUAUUCGCAAUGAGUUGCAUCAUAAUAGGUGUGUAAACAUGCGAAAGGUUUUCGGCAGCUCAGUAGCAUAAAAGUAGAAACAAUUACAAUAUACACAAAAUGAACAACAAUUCACUUGCGUUUGGACAAGCAAUACAGACACAACAGACAAACAAUAUACACAAAAUUGGCCUGCCAUAUACAGACAUACACACAGUAGACAUGCAAUAUACACACAGUAGACAUGCAAUAUACACACAAUAGACAUGCAAUAUACACACAAUACACAUGCAAUAUACACACAAUACUCCCUUAACACACACAAUAGACAUGCCCUUGCCCACAAUAAUGAUGCAAUAUACUUCAGUCCCCAAGUACACCAACCAUAAGGAAGUCGUAUUGAAUAGGAUAUUAAACUUAACAGUUGUUCUUCCUACUAAAAGAAAGAAUAACGUCCGUUUCCCCCCUUCAUUCUUACUUCAGUGAUACUUGUGGCCCCAAUAAACAUCCAAUAUUGGGUCAAGGAUAUUCCAUAUACAUGCAGCAAACUAUCAAUAAACCUUCAAUAAACAUUCAAUAUCGGUUCUAUAACAUGCGAAAUACAUGCAGUUAACAAAUAUUACAAAAUGGGUUUAGGGUCUCAUUGGUGGUGCGUGCAACAUGUCUUGUGCGGAAGAACUUUCACAAUCUUUGAAACCAUGCAGUUAAAUGAUCCUUAAAAGAACAAAUAAAAUGACAAUUGAUACAACUAAUAAAACUAAUACCAAGUCCUUAAUGGACUUCAGCAUGUUCAGCACUCUAGCAUCAUACGUGUCAUCUUGAUGUUCUGCUUCAGCGGAGGUUACAUCAACCCAUUCGAAUCCAUUGCAACUGGUGGCUCCCUAAUUGCAGGCAUCAUAUAUGGAAUAUAAUUCUGUUAGAGUUAGACAUGGGUUUAUUUUGACCCACAUACAUAUUAUUGAAAUUAAAACUUACAUAGGAGGUUAGACACUUCCAGAAUGGCUUCCCUCGAUUUUUGUCAGAUUUUGAAACCCGAAGCACCAUUGUAGCUCCACAAUACUGACACCUCUUUGUUUGAGCAGGAGAUGAAGACGAAGACAUGUUGAAUCUUCUCAGUUGUACCUCUUCUCACUCAGAUCUUCUCACUGAAACCUCUUCGGACUCAUACCUUCUCACUCAUCGUUGUCAUUCAUACCCCUUCACUCAUAACCCUAAACUUGUCACUCAGCUCUCUCUCAUCUCUGCCCAAAUCGAGUUAUAUUUCUUUUUUUUGGGAUCAUUUGGUGGGUUGGUCACGAUCUCGACACCCGUACCGUCGGCAUUGCGACAUCUUUUAGCCCGAAAAGCAAUAUAAACUACUUCACUACCAAAUAUAUUUUCUGAAAAAUGAGGGGACACUGCUUCAAAUUUAUUAUUUUAUAUAUAUUUCAUUAAGGCAACUAGUUGGAUAAGAAUCCGUCAUUAUUGGUUCCAUUUGAAUAACAUUACUAGGGGUAGUUGGGUGUGGGAAAAUGAAAAAGUAUAUGAUGGGACCUUCUGUCACUACUCAGUAAUCCAUCACAUUUGUAUCAAUGAAUUUGAUAGUGGGAUAAUCCCACAAAUGGCUAUGCAAAUAGCCAUUUAAUGAACUUUUUGACUGUCUGACUCUGUAUGCACCGUUAUGACGUUUUCCCUUCUUUUGUCUUCAGUUUUAAUUCACUUGGGUUCAGUUUCUUUAAAAAUGGUCAACUUGGAAAAACCCCAACUGGAAACACCUUUUCAAAACACUAUAAACAGAGGCUAAAACAAAACGUGUACCCCAAAUAUUCUCAUUUAUCCCCUCUGCCACUCCUCAAAUCGUUCCAUUCCAAAAACUUUUCAAUGAAUUCGAAACACUUCACUACAGUCGGAGGAAAGAGAAGGAAGCAUCUCCAUUUCGAUAUGCCCGAAGCCUUCAUCCCGGAGUCCGCUUGGUUUCAAGUGAUGUUAUACGUGGCAACCGAAUCAUCGGAAGAUCUCUUCCGUAUGGCAUCUGUGUGCCCAUUGUUCCAAACUUUGGCAAACAGUCCACAAGUGUGGAACACCAUUUCAAUGGCAAAGUACCCACACCAUCCUAGCUGGUACCGUGCCAGACCUGCGGUCCAGCAUUUCUUGCAACAAUGCAGGGCUUGCGAUAACCCUGAGUCGAUAUUUAGAGAAGCAUUCGAUAUUUUUUUCAGGGCCAGUAAGGUGGAAGCGUUGUAUGGGAUGCGCAUUGCAGCCACGGCAGGCCAUAUGGAAGCGGCAUAUGUAGUUGGACUACUUGGUAUAUCCGGAAUUGGUCAGUCAAAAGAGGAUGCAUUACAAUUCUUGUGUUCUUUGAAUCAACGUAACAACAUUGAUAUGAAAGGAACCAGGGAUGCUUUGACACGAAGAUUAACCGGACCAAGAGUUGCAAGACAUAUCGUAGAUAUAUUUGACUAUGGGAAGAUUAAGUUCAAUCGCUGCAGCACUUGUAACAACAAUGAAUGGUAUUUUGUUAUUCAAGGCUGGCCUAGUGAAGACAAGAUAAAUCCUGCCUUCUAGACUUGUUGCAAUCGAUGCAAAUGGCACCGUGAGAGUAUUUUUUGGUUCAAACUGAUGCGUGAGUAUGUUGUGCGAGGGAAUCAUGUAUUUUUGCAUUAGUUUUAGUACGAAUUUACGGUUUUGAUGCAUUGUGGACUUACUUCUCUUCACUUCUAGGUUGGCUGGCUACGUUGUACAAAUGUUGUUUAAAUGUUGUUUAAAUGUUGGUAUUUUGUCAUAAACCGUUUUAUAUAUAAAUGUAUAAUAUUUAUUAUAUAGCGGAAUUAUUACUUACAUCAUAGACGGCUACGAAUGACAUUUUACUGACACAGAUAUUUUGCUCACCCACCCCAAUAUUCAUAUUUGGUAAACGAAAAGUCAUGCAUGGAGUAAAUAGGUGUCUUUUCACCAAUGCUUGGGAAUGACAUUUUCCCACUUAGCAUAUUCGACAGGAUUUGGUUACACGUUUCUUAAGCAAAAGUUGAACAGUGAAUGACGUUGAAUAAUUUGUUUGUGUGGAAGGAGUACAAUGGAUGACUUGUAUAUUUCCAUAUUAUGUUUGAAAACAUCCCUUCAACCUAAAAAAUAAAAAAAUUAACAAAUUGAAGAACAGAGAAACCGAUGAGCACUACAAAUGGCCUAUUCGCACGGAAAAUAAAAUUGUUUUAAACAAGUUGGACUAAAUAUAAUUAACAAAUGGACAGCCUAAAAAGUAAUAUCAUAAUAAUUAUAAUAAUUGUGGAUUAAUAAUAAUAAAAUACUAAUGUAGCAUAACCAUGAAACAGGGAAUUCAGUAGGAAGAUGAAAUCUCAAUAAGUUCGUUGAAAUGUUCGGAUCGUUUUUCUAAUUUUUGUGUAUUUAGUUCUGAAUUUUCCAAGAAAAAAAGUAAUUAAAUAAUAAUUUAGGGUAAAAUGGGAUGAUGUGGCCAUGUUGACUGACGUACACUUGUGCAAGUACUCAUAAGUGAGGGGCUGAGAUCGCGCCAGGUGUCUUCUUGGAAUUAGGGUUGGCUAUUUUAGUGGAAAAAUCCUUGAAAAUAGGUAAAAAAUAGUAGGAAAUUCCUAUUCUAGGUUGGGAAAAUUACCCGCGCCUCCUUGUGACGUCAUAAAACUAGGAGAACCUAUAAAUCAUCCGUCUCGCAAUGAAAUAAUCCAAAAUGUUUUACAUAACUCACUUCCCUCUUUACCCUAAGUAUUGAUGUUUGUUAACUUGAACUUCAAUAACCUACUUCAACAAGCAUCUCCCGUUAAUGUUGGGAAUAAUUGUCUAAAAUGCGUAACAAUGAAUCGGAGAAUUCAGCAAGGGAGAUGGAGUGUCAAUGAGUUCGUAGCAAUUUUCGGAAAUAAUUUUGAAUUUUUGUGUAUUUAGUUAUGAAUUUUGUAAGACAAAGUAAUAAAAUAAUAAUUUAGGGUAAAAUGGGAGGAUGUGGCCAUGUUGACUGACGUACACUUGUGCAAGUAGUCAAAAGUGCCGGGCUGAGAUCGCGCCAGGUGUCAUCUUCUUUUCAAUUUUGGAUUCUUUUGUUAAAAAAUCUUUGAAACUAAGUAAUAAAUAGUAGGAAAAUCCUAAAAAUGCCCCCAAAAUUACUCCGGCCUACUUGUGACGUCAUAAAACUAGGAGAACCUAUAAAUCAUUCGUCUCGCAAUGAAAUAAUCCAAAUUGUUUUACAUAACUCACUUUCCUCUUAACCCUAAGUAUUGAUGUUUGUUAACUUAAACUUGAAUAACCUACUUCAACAAGCAUCUCCCGUUGAUGUUCGGAAUUAUUUUUAAAAAUGCGUAACAAUGAAUCGGAGAAUUCAGCAAGGGAGAUGGAGUGUGAAUGAGUUCGUAGCAAUUUUCGGAUAAUUUUUUUAAUUUUUGUGUAAUUAGUUCUGAUUUUUGUAAGGAAAAGUAAUAAAAUAAUAAUUUAGGGUAAAAAGGGAGGAUGUGGCCAUAUUGACUGACGUACACUUGUGCAAGUAGUCAUAAGUGACGGGCUGAGAUCGCGCCAGGUGUCCUCUUGCUAUUAUUUUGGCUUUUUUAGUGCAACAAUCUGUGGACAUAGGUAAUAAAUUCUACGAAAAUCCAAAAAAUGCCCGGAAAAUGAGAAAAUGAAAAUUAUUUGUACAUAACUCACUUUCCUCUUAACCCUAAUUCACGUGUAACACGUAUAUUUCGGAUAAUAUUCGAUAUAUAAUUUGUAAUAAUACAAUAUUUAGUUUCACUAUAUACAAUAAUAUGUUUUGUUAUAAUAAUGUACAUAAAUAAUAAUUGCACAUGCUUUGAAGCCAUCAUUGCAACUACGCCUAGAGCUUUCAAGACGUCAGUUCGUAUUCAAUAAGUUGUCCACAUGCAAGUGCACCUACAGUUUUCAACACGUCAGAGGUAUUCAAUAAGUUGUCCACAUGCAACUGCACCUAGAGUUAUUAACACGUCAGAGGUAUUCAAUAAGUUGUCCAUAUGACGCCGCAUUGGGAAUCAGUAAUAUAUUUUCAAUCAUGUCCAAUCACAUAAAAUAAUGGCAUACUUUUUCUCAAUAACCUCACACAAGUGAAGCAAUUUUAAAACCCUUACUGAAUAUUUGUCCUAGUCUAUAUGAGUGAUUAUAUAAUCAGUCUGCAUUUUUUUCACAGUAUAUGUUAACUUUGAGAGGGAUUCCACAAACAUAAAAUAUAAAGAAAGCAAGAAAUAGUAGGAGAUGAACCAGUAGAAAAAACAAUAUAUAAAUGGUACAUAAUAAUUCCAUAACCUUGUCACAAACGCACUCACAAAAGCUUUUCCAUAAACCUUGUCCUAACAUAUAAUAAAUAAAGGCAACAUUGCAUAUGAUGCAACCAUGUCCAAAUCUGAUACGUGAUCAAAAACAAAUGGACAUGGCAGCAACAUAUGACUGAAGUAGAUGGGCUCUUUGCAUCUUGUGUUUUCGUAAUUAAAGACAUCAAAAUAUUAAGGUUUAAAUCUUCCAUAGUAGUUAGCAUCAAAAUAGCUUUGAAGCAGAGUGUAAAGAAAAUUCCAAUUCCACUGAUUUGCCUCUGCUCAAACACGAGAACCAAAAUGGUUACUUCCCUUGCUGAGUAUAUUUGGUGACGUCGGAAACGGUAAUAGAUGAUCAAUCAAACCCAGGUACGACGAGUUUUGCAUAGGAUCGGAAGUAGUCGAAUCCAGCUUGCAUCACACGCUUCUUUGACUCCACUGCAUUAGAUGAGUUCUUGUAUUUUUGAACAGCUACACUCCGAAGUCGUUUGUGUCUACGCUUCAUGCGCUGCAACUUCACCCUAUCCAGAUUGGCCUGCCUUUUGUCAUCUUCAAUUUGGCCUUCAACAAAUUCCAAACGUGCCCUUGCCCUUUGGAUUUCAUCACCAAGUUGAAGAUGCCUCUCCUUCCAAAAAGCAACAACUCUUUCAGACUCAAAACUUCCAACAAAAUGGUCAUUCUGUCUAGGAAUGUGACAUUGCUUGUCUGGUGACUCACUUGCGUGUCGAAGGCGGUCUUUGUUUGGAGGGGUGUUUAUUAUGCUCACAUCAAACUUGGUUAGUAAAUCCAUUCUUUGGGGGGAAUGAGUUUGUUUGCUUGAGAGAGUAUCAGUAGAUGGAGACAGAUUCGGUGGAGGAGUGAGUUUUGUGUGGAAGGAGAAUUUAUAUGAAAGGGGUGAUAGUAAUACCAAGAAAAGGGUUCCCGCCAAAAAAUAUUUGGUUGAGAAUGUAUAAAUUAAUUUUUGGUCUGAUACAAUCUAAGUUGAAUCCUAACUAGUUUGGUUGAGUUAACUAAGUAGAUGUCACUUCCAUUGAGUUUCUUUCAACCACUAUCAGUGGUGUCAGGAGAGUGUGAGGUUGACAUGCUUGAAAAGCAAAACCUGACACCUAUUUUUAAAAAAUUCCAUAAAAAAAGUACAUAUGUUGACUACACACAAGCUUUGGUAUGUUGGUCUAUAAACCUAUGUUCCCUUUCUCAAACGAAAUUGCAUAUGCAAUCCUCAUCCUCCCAAAACAAAGAGGAUUAUUCAAGCAUGUCAACCUCUUCAGGCGCCAACAACACAAUCGAAGAUGACAAAUUGGAGUCGCAGGUUCUAUUUCCACAUUGUACUCGCCGACCCCUUCCUUUUUCAACAUCAUUUGGGAGUGAGGGGGACUCCGAUGAUCCAUUAGAGGCAAUACAUGCAGUCAGUGGCAAGCUGGAUUAUAAUUCCAGACUGAUCAAUUCAUGGCACGAGAAAUGUGUUGAAGACGAGGCAAUUUUGGCUGAUCUUAACAUUAGAGUGAACAAAGCGUUCUCCCAAAAGAACAAGUACUUGAAGCUGAGUCAUAGCAGGAAGCUGAAAGCUGAGGAGUUGGAUACAGUAAUGAAUGAUGAAAUGAAAGGUUGUUUGCUGAACCACAUGCGAUGCGAAGAGCACCAUAGUGAACUGGAGUUGGCAUUCAACGAAGGAUUCGACAAAUUUCGAGCAUUUGCGGCAACUACUCAUACAAGUUAUGAUUGGAACUAUGUGUCCCCUGAUGCUGUGAGAGAGAUACUAGACGAUGGGGGUGACAUGAAUGAGCAUAAGCACGUCAAAGCUGCUCGGAAGAAGCCGACCGAUACGACUAAGUGAUUGCGGCUACCGCUGUUCAGUUGGUUGAGGGUGACCGUGGUAUUGCACAUAUACUCCCUUAAUGUCAUUAUCUAAUUUCAAAUAACACAAAUAUCAGUUUCAUUUGCUUCAUAUAUAAUUAUUGGGACUAUGUAUUGCAAGUCAUCAUGUGUUAUAAUGUCUAACAUUAUAUUUUGCAAAUAUGGAAAUAUUAUUCAAUAAGCAGUCAAUAUCACAGCAAGCCGGGAAUCAGUAAAUGCUCCUUAUCAUGUCCAUUUACAUUAAAGAGCUGGCGUACUAAUGUGUUCAAAAAAAACUGAGACGUGAGUCAUAAGUAACAUAACAUGUGCUAUACAUUGUUUACUGAAUGGUUUAUGGUUUAUUUUUAUAUAAUAAAAUUCCAAAUAUUGCUGAAGAUUUAUUUCGUCUAUAUGACUAGGGAUAUGAGUGGCCAUAAGCAUGUGAGACCUGCUAAGAAGAAGCUGACGAGUACGACCGAGUGAUUGUGGCUACCGUUGUUCAGUUGGUUGGGGAGAUCGUGGUAUUGCUAAGAGGGAGCACAUAAUAUGUUUUGCAAUCAAAUGUUCUUUUGUGUGUGGAAUUAUGAGUAUUUAUGUAAGUUAGUGUACCCUUUAAUAUUUUUCACCUAAGUAUCGAAAUGUAAUUAGCUGCAAUGUUAUGUUUCAUUUUUACACGCUGCUUUCUAUUUGCUCUGUUCCAACAAAGUGCUUCAAGUAUCCUUCAGUUACAAAAGUGUACAAAAUCGUGCCCCUAAUAACCAGUCGUCAAAAGUGGCUACUGCUGGAAAUGAUUACUGGUAAUGGAAACAACAGCUGGCUGCUGGAAAUGCUGCAUUAGCCUGAGGAUUUGAAAAAUGAAUCUCUGUUAAAACAUAAUUCACCCUAAACUGCCCAUUUUACAUGGUAAAGGUCAUUGCUUCUUCACAUAACUACAAAUUUCAUACUUGAUCAAAUGUCUAUGAAAAUUUAUAAAUAGGGAGAAGACGUAAAAUUAACAUGUCUCCAAAUUUCAUGGAAGAAUGAAACCAAGGAAAUUUUCAUUUCAAUUACCAGUGGACAUAGUAAGAGCUCAUCGGUGGACAUGAACAAAAACACAAUAAUAUUCAAAAACUGAAUCUAUAAAACUUCACCUGAUCAUUAAUCUUCAUAACAACCACAUUUCGUCUAAUACAAAUAUAAAUCAUUUAGUUGGUCCGUGCAUCCUGUCAAAAUCGUCGAAUAAUGGGUCACUACGAUGUAUUGGAGUUGAUUCGUCAUUGUUCGACGGUGAUGUCCUGCAUAAACAUCAAACACAAGCACAUAAAAAUUUUACCUUUUCAUAUUUUAGAUGUUAUUACAACUAGUGUUAGCAUCUUACGGUGUGUUCAAGGCUGGGCAUUGUCUUCUAUCAUGACCAAUGUGUCCACACUCCCGACAGUGUCUAAUCCCUCGCUUCAUUGCCUUUUCCUUUGCUCCCGUUACUCCUUUCGACCUUCCUUUGCACCUCACUCUCUUAGGGUCUUUCAUAUAUUGUGUUUGAGAGCUGGACCCUCCAACUUCGUUAUUACUUAGUCCAUCCUUCAGCAACUUUAACUUCACCUGCAAACUUUUUAGAGUCUCUGACAGUAGCUCACAUCCUUCUUCACUCAUUAAUGCAUCCUCAACCACAUCUGAAGCAAGUCGAGACAUUGUACUCCGCUUUAUUAGAAGGCCAGGAUCUGCACAGUCUUUAAUUUCGUUGCCAUUUGCAUCUGACACCAUUCCAGAUUUCGCAGUUUUCUUCCACCUCUUCAAAAUAUAUUUAUCGGGCAUAUAUUCAAUCUGGUCCCUUCUGAACAAUGCUAGGAUGUGCUUGCAAAUAAUUCCAACAAAUUCAAAUCUUUUGCAGCUACACGAUGCGUGGUCAGAAUCUUUGACAUAUACGACUUCUGCCACUCUUGUUUCCCAAUUUUUCCUUUCGCUCACGUUAAAGACAACUUUACAAGCAUCCUCUGUUUUGAGCUCUAGGAAACAUGCUGUACUUUGUAUUAGUUCUUGCUCAAACUUUUGAAACAUUGUCCUUGUGUACAAGGUAGCCAUUUGUUUGUUCAUUGGCAUCGGUAGAAGACAUUGAGCCACUUCAAAUGCAUCUACGUGAUCAGCAACUAACUCUUUUUCACGUUGAUGAGAAAGUGCCCUCUCAAAUCGUAUUAUGAAAUCCAUCAACGAAUUUCUCCUUGAUAUGUAUUGCUUGAAAAAACCAUGAGAACCUUCCGCUCUUUGGCUGCUUGACAUUCCAGCGGCAAAAAAUUGUCGUGCGUAGGCUGGAACCCAAGAUUCCCUUAAAUCAAACAUUGAACUUAGCCAUGGAUGGUCGGUCAAACCAGCCUUUGUAACCACAAUAUUCCAUUUUGCAUCAAACUCAUCCUUAUUGUCAGUAUCCCAUAUGGCUUUCUGAAAUUCACGCCAAUACUCCUUAUAAGCGUCACGUGGUAACUUAACAGAGAACUUUGAUGUGAUGUGCCAUAUGCAAAGUCGAUGAAAUGUACUCGGGAAGGCUAUUGAAAUCGCUAUGGCCAUUGCCGCAUCUUGAUCUGUAAUGAUCGUUUUAGGUUCCCCACCUGGCAUGGCUUUCUUAAACUCCUCAAACAUCCAAACAAACGACUCAGUCGUUUCCUUGCUCAAAAAUGCACAUGCUAAGACAAUUGUUUGACCAUGGUUAUUAACUCCCAACAUUGGUGCAAAUGUCAAGUCGUAUCGAUUCGUGUUGAAUGUGGUAUCGAAUACAACAACAUCUCCAUAAAACCCAUACGCCCGUCUAGAAGUUGCAUCUGCCCAAAAACAUCGACUAAACCUGUCAUGCCCAUCUCCCUCAAUCUUGAAAUAAAAAGCCUCAUUUUUUUUCUGUUCAGCCAUAAAAUACUCGGUCACUAGUUCAACAUCGUGGUUCCUCAGCUUCCCAUUCACACUACAUUCAAGAUUGUAGAUAUCUUUUUUGAUAAAACCGAUUUUAUCCAUUCCUCCGGAUUGCACCUUGAAAAUACUUACCUUAUGAUGAAUGGGAAUAUUAACUGAACCCAACUGUUUUGUGAGUACUUUGUAGAAUCUGAAAUAUGACGGUGUGAUCUCAAUAAAUGCAUUCUUUCUGAGGGUGUCAUCUUAUGAUUGUGUCCCUCUGCAAAAAGAGAUAUGGUAUACUUCUUGCUCCCAUUUGUCUUCACAACCACAAUCUUAGCUUUGCAAUUGCAUCUACUUAUUCCCCGUUGUCUUUUUCUCUCCCGAGUUUCAUCCUUCCUGUAUGCACCUUGUUUGCAACAUACAAAUUCUUUCCUCAAAAUCUCUUUCUUAUUUUUCCCCCAAAAGCUAGAAUGAAGUCGAAUACCAAAGCCAGCAAAGAAUGCAUAUCUAUUAUAGAAAUUGUAAACGAGGUCAAGCGAGUCAAACUUCAUCCCAACUGCUGGUGUUUCCUCAUUUCUUACUUCAGGAAUAUAAACCCUCCCAUUAGCUGUUGCACAUUCAUCACUCUCUGAGCCCCCAGACAUUUUAUCUACGUAUAUUAUUGAUCCACUUCUAUAUUACUGCAUAGCAAUUAUUCAUUCAUUAAUCAGUCAUUACUGCAUCACAACAUAUCAAUGCAUUCCACUUACACAAAACAUUGCCCAAAUUGACACAAAAUACGCAUAGCCUAACUUCCGAUUACACAAAACGCAAGCAAAAUUUCAUAAAAGUUACGUCAUCUCUUGUGAAAUAAUCUGGUCAAAAUAACAUUAGAACCAACAUGUUCAACUAAGAACACAAAUGUAAUUCAAACCACCAAUUACAGAACUUCACCCAAUAUCCUCUCCAACUGCUUACUCCUAAUGUCAUUAAGCCUAAGUUUAGGUUCUUUUACCUACAUUUCAUAAUUUUCCACCCCGACCAACAACAAUGAACUAAGAAUAUUGAAUAUUCAUAAGGAAAUGACACAUUAUUGAUGCCACAAAUGACGAAUUUCCCACCCUCACAAAAGAUAAACCUAACCCAAUAAAAUCAAUCCAGCAAGUGAACUUACCUCUCAAAAUCAAUCGGGAGCUCUGAAGUCAGUCAGCUUGAAAGAAUGUGGUGGACAUUACAGAAGACUCUUUGGUAUUUGAGACUCCAUCUCUACCAAAAUCGAGGAACAACUGCUGCUGCGGCUUCUAGCUACAAAAACAGAUAUGCUACUUUGCUUUCAUCUGGAAUCUUGUCAGCUGAAUGAAAAAGAGAAGGGGUUUUCACUUGAGCCAUAGAAUCAAAACAGGGCAACAGCUAGGUAAGAGCCAUUCUUCGUAAUACCCAGGAUACCAUAGAUCGCAGGCCUCCCAACGAGCUAAUGACAGUCGAGUGACUAUAAGGUUUGGGAGAUUUGGAUCCUUCUAAUUGUGGGUUUGCUUUACAUUCAAAAAGAAAGGAUUGUGUUCUUCAGUUUUUCACAGAGAGGGAAAGAGGGGAACAACUGAAGUUGGGUUUCUAACGGGUUAGAUUUCAACCCGAUUCUACAUGCACCCUCUUUUAAAAACUCACCGUUGGAUGAAAUCCAACGGCUCUUACAUGCCCCUCAAAAACACCCCUUAUAACUUCCCACUCACUAUAGAAGCUCCCCUGUUUGUGUUGUUGAAUUGGGUCUUUUAGUUGUUUUUGUAAACUCUGAUUUAAGUCUAGUUUGGUAUUGCUGUACUUUUAAAAAAAACUACUUCCGCUGUGCUGCUAGAAUACUCAGCUGUAAAAAAAAUUAGUUAUGCUUUUGGUAAACUAUAUUUGAAAAAGUGCUGUGAGUAAUCCAAAUGUUUGGUAAAUGACCAAAAAAAAGUGCUUUUAAUACGUACAAUGACUAAAAAGGACAUGAUGAUGGAACUAUUUGAUUUUUUCUUCAUUCUUUUUCUACUUAAAAAAAACUUCACUACAUAAUUUUUUUUUCUUUUUUUAUUUAUACUAUACACGUGUUCCUCUCUUCUCAAAAAAGUAAAUGCCUUUUGUUAUGUAUUGAAUGCUAACCCAACGACACCAAUUGGAAACCCAACACAGCCCAUCUCUCCACUUCAAUUUUUCUCUUUCUACCAUUUACAAGUUUUUUUUCUUCAUUCCUUCGUCUAACCAAAAAUAUCUCAUGUUUCCCCCAAUUAGUUUUAGUACUUUUGGGUAGGUGAGACUGAAAAGGGGAAAAAUUGUAUGUUGGGUUUAUGUUUUGGUGUUCUUGCAAUGGGAGAUAACAUAGUGGAGAAAGUAGCCAUGGUGAAAAUACAGAUUUCUGGGUUGCAGCCAUGGAGAUUUGAGCUGAUUUACAGUGCUGUAGUGGGGGUAGUUGAAGCCCCCCCAAAGUUGGGACUACUGCAACAGGAUCUUUCCACCCAAAACCAAAAACAAGAACAACAAACUCAGGUGGAACAUGAAACUCAUCACUCUCUCUCUUCCUUCGACUCGGGUUUUCUCUCUUCUUCCUCAAACCUGCGACAAAUAGAAAAACCCCCAAUUUAACAGAGAAAACUCUAGAUGCAGAAAGUUUGAGAAGUAGAAAACCAAAAAACCAUAAUUGUAAUUAAGUUAUUGAUGAAUGGGCAACCUUCUUAGCAAUUAAUUUUUUGAUGUCCACAAUGAGAGUUCCAGCAGCGUCAGAGAGUAGAGAAGGAAAUGAAGGAAAUAGAGUUCACAGAAUGGAGAAGAAAAAAGGGGCAAAAGACCGUCAAUUUGUAAAAUAAGUGAGGGUAUUACGGGAAAGUUAAAAGUUCAUUAAAACAACCGGUUAAAUUUUUUUUGAAGCAGCUUUUAAAAGCUUGGUAGAGACGGCUUCGAAAAAACAGCGAUCAUUGACUGCGAUUUUAAAAAAAAGCAGGAUUCCUGAUGUUUUCCAAACACCCAACUCAUGAAAUUUUUUUAUUAAAGCUGCUUUUUAAGAAAAUUAAACGCUGCCAAACACCACCUUAACCAUUUUCUUUGCGUGUGCCAAAUUUAUAAUUUUGACCAGUGUCAUGCAGGAAAAUGUUUCAUGCUUUGUUAACAGGGGGCUUUCGAUGAGUAUUUUAUUUAGAUGAAAAGUGAUUCAUUCCUUUCCUUUAUGGAUUCAUCUUGUUAGGUUGAUCUAUUGAAGAAUGAGCUUGGAUUUGAUGAGGCUUUUAACUAUAAAGAAGAGGCUGACUUGAAUGCGGCUUUCAAAAGGUGCAUAUGAGUAAUGAUAGAGAGAUUACAUUUAUAAACCCUAGCGGACCAUGAAUAUAAUGAGUCUUAAAUCUAUUAGACAAUUGGUUAGUUGACAGGUGGUAUACAAAGCAGUCUACAAAUGUGAUCUCCCUAUCAUUUUCCGUAAAAUACAUAUUUAUUAUGUUAUACUAGUUUCCUUUAGUAAGAAAAGAAAGGAAAAAAACUAUUAUUAAGAAUUUGUGUGUUGUUAGGGUUCAUCAUUGGGCUGGGCCAACUCAAAAAUUUUGGGUUCGAGCCGAGCCCUCAUGGGCCGAAAUGGGCCAGACUUUUUGUUAAAAAGUCUUUUCAAUCUUUUUGUUACACAUUUCGUUUUUUCAAAAGUGAUGGAUAUAGAGUAUUCUCUUAAACAAUAGUAUAGAUUACUACAUAAUUUAAGAAAACAAAAAUAUAAUAGCCAAACUUUUUUACUAAACCUAGACCAAUAACCAAUAUAUUUAAAAAAUAUUAUACCUAAAAAUGAAUCUUAUGAUGUGCAAUUUGUGCCUUAAUUAACUUAUAUCCCAAAUUAGGAUUGACAUCAUGAAAAUUAAAGCAAUUUGUGCCUUUAAAAUUAAUAAACCCAGAAUAAGCUUUCAAAUUCUUUAUUGAACCGUUAAAUUUGAACUUGACAAAAAAGGGGCACUAAGAGAUAUAGUGCAUAUAUUGCUUGUUUGUUACAAAAUUUUAGACAACAUUGAAAAAAUUAACUUAAUUUAUAACAUGUGUAAACAAAAUAAAAAGUUUAUUAGUUUAUCAUACAUAUUACAUUAUUUUGAUUAAGUAUAAAAUGAGGUUAGGGAAUGCAUCAAUUAAUCUUAAAAAAAUGAAAAGCAUAAGCGGGCGGGCCGAGCGGGCCUAACCAUCUUGCUAGGCUGGACUUUGACCCAUCAAGCCUCGGACUACCCACUUCGGAGCCGCGGGCCAAAUGAUGAUCCCUAUAUGUUGUAUAUGAUGCUUUGAAGCUUGAGCUUUCUUGAGUGAAGGAUAAAUUUUCUUUGUAAUUACCAUACACUUGCCAGGUAUUUCCCUGAAGGCAUUGAUAUUUACUUUGAGAAUGUUGGAGGCAAAACGCUAGACGCAGUGCUCCUCAACAUGAGAGUCCAUGGCCGCAUUGCUGUAUGUGGAAUGAUCUCACAGUACAAUCUUGAUCAAGCAGAAGGGGUAACAAAUUUGAUGCACCUUGUGUAAAAACGUAUCCGCCUCCAUGGAUUUUCGGUAAGAGAUCACUAUCACAUCCAUCCGAAAUUCGUGGAGUUUAUGCUGCCUUACAUUAGGCAAGGAAAGAUUGUUUAUGUGGAAGACAUAGUUGAAGGCCUUGAGAGUGGUCCAAGAGCGCUGGUUGGACUUUUUAAGGGUCUUAACUUUGGAAAACAAGUAGUUGACGUCUCUGCAUGAAUAAGUUGUUUUGUCAAUCGAUUUGGUGUGCUUGUGUUUCUAACCACUAUAACUUUGUUAAGUGGCUCUUUGGUUUUAUUUUUAUGUUUUUGGAUCCUUUUUGGGAUUGCAUAUGUUAAGUGGUGCACUUUGUCAUACAGAAGAUAUUCAUCAAUAAUAAGGGCUAAUUCAGGAUUGUUGUCACUUUUAAAAAAAGAUGCUUCUGUUGUGUUUUGGAAAUAAUAAGCUGUAAAGUAGUUCCAUGCGUGUUAAACAAUAUUUUUAAAGUGUUGUUAGUAUAAAAAGUUAUGUCAAAACCGUUUGGUAAAUUUUGAUAUAAAACUAGUAACUGUUGAUAAUGACUAAAACAUACAUGAUAUGUCGAAAGUGUUACGUGGUAACCAUAUGGUGGUGGUGGCGGUGGUGGUAUAGGUGGAGGUUGAGUUGGUGGUGGUGGUGGAGGUGGAGGUGGUGGUGAGGCGUGCUACGGGCACCAACUUAAAUACUAAUUUAAUGAUACCAACCUAUGUGGCAUAUGACAUGACAAUUUAUGUCAUAUGCCACAUCAUUUUUUUUAUUAGUUAAGUUUUAACAAUUUUUUGUCAGAAUUAACUUAAUUAUUUAGUUUUAAAUAAAUAAAUUCUGCUCCACGCCUCCCUUCCUUCUCGGAUCUACUACCAUGGCCUCCUUCCUCCCCAACUUGUAUGCCCUUAUUAUUACGCACAUUGAAUUUGGCUUUCGGGGUGUGACAUAUUUUUACCAAUCCCAUGAAGCUUUUCUUAUCUUUGAAUGCUUGAGUGCUAACCAUUGUGUGUUUCCCUUGCUUUAGGAAGAUUGCCUCACUCAGCAAGAAUGCAUGGUGAGGUGUUUGUGAAUGGUGCAAAAUCGGUACAUGUACAUGGCCACGACACCGAUAUAUAAAUGAGAAGAGAAUUCCUUGGUCAGUAUCAAUAUUGCGAAACUGUUGCAGCAUUGAAGGGUUGUGUGAACUCCUCGAUUUCAAGCGAAGUCGAAUAUUGCUUGAUGUGGAAGAUGGCUCAAACUAAUAAAAAUGAGGAAAACGGAUCAUACCAACAAAAAUAUGGCAGAUGGCCAGAAUCAAUAUAACCGUGGUCAGAUUUGGGAAGUGAGGCCAUGGCAGAUUCGGAGAGGGAGGGAGGCCAUGGCAGAUCUAUAAAGGAAUGGAGAAACAGAUCACACCUCUUCCCUUCUCCUCAUACCACAACUCAUCAUACACACCCAAUCGAUUUUGAAAUAUUACAUAAAAGUUGUGAUGGCGCUGGAACUGCAGAUUCAGAACGUUUUUUAUAUGCUUCCCACAAGCAGUCAGACAAACCCUUAGAGGACGAGUGACAUCAUUACCUUCUCAACUUACCAAAGAAAGAACUCCUUCCGAAGUGGUAACCACUUGCCGAUGCUCCCAACUACAGAACCAAGUUUCCAUGGACACGUGUCACCUCCACAAUAGUUUGCACAAAGUCCGACAUUGAAACUUUGUGCAAAACUCCCAUUUUCAGGGAACAGUACCUAAGGAAAAGGGGUAACUACUUUUCACAUUUACUGUUACUCUGCCAAAAUUACCACAUAUACUCGCUGACUUAAGUAUUGGAGAGUCUUCGGCAGGUACCACACCAGUGUCCGAAGCUUGACGAUCCCUUCUUCCUUGUUUUCUUAUGCAAGAUCCCUCCAUACCGAAGGUCCACAACCUUCUCCCUUGCUGAAGAUUUAACACUCCUUUAUCUAAGUUAACCCUCCGAAAAAGAGCAUCAACACGCGCAGCACUCAUUAUCUUUCAACAAUCUGAUUAUCUUAUACUAGUUAAUUUAUGGGUUGUUUGAUAACAAUUUCAAUUUUAAUUUUUAGUUUUCAUUUUCAUUUUUUUUGAAAACUGAAAACAUGUUUGGUAUUAGAUUUCGUUUUCAAAUUAAAAAAAAAGUGAAAUCUAGUUUUCAAAAUCACCUUUUUUUUAAAAAACAACUUGGAAGUGUUUUAUGUUUUUUUUUUAUGUUUUUUUUUUUUUUUUUUUUUUUUUUGUGCACUAUUGUUUGUUGGAGUGUUAGUUGACUUUCUUUGCACACCAAGGUUUCCCAUAUUAACUCAUGCAUAGAUUGGAAUUGAUUUCCUACUCUAAAUAGUAUUAGAAGUUAUUAAUUACCUUACUUAGCCUUCAAGGAAUAUUGUAUUAUAAAUAUGGCCUUCUACAAGGAGAAGAAUACACAGAAAAUUCUCACCACAAUUACUCUUUCGUAAUUUUAGCAUUAUUUCAUUCAUAAGUUUCACAUCACCACACAUGAAAUGCACUCCGGUUACCAAAAGUCGGUAUUUGGGACCUCCCAACUUGGACUUGGUCGCUCAAUUCGUGCUUUUGGCCACAAUCCCAAUCCAAACCUCGUCAACUCCAUGUCCAAAGGUCACUAAAAAAUAAUCAUAAUUUUAAAAAAUUCACCAAAAAAUAUUACGAAUUUUUUGUCAUUCCUGCUUUAACUUUACCUUUUGUUUUCAAAUGUUGACCCGUCCCAACCCAACUCUCAAUGCUCGAAGGGUUCUUUCGUGUAGUUAAGAGUUGGGUUUUCCAAGGUAGGUCUAUAUUGAUUCGAACAACUUUGCGGUAUAUCUGUGGGUAAGAUACUGUUCUCAAAGUAGUAAAGGCUGAACUAAAAGGCUAAAUGGGAAAAUGAAUACUUUCUUUUCUCUUCCUCAAGAAACAUACAUCCUCACCACAAGAGAGGGAGAGUUGCUUGGUAUUUUGUUAAAUAAAAUAAAAUAAUUAAUAAUUGAAAAUAGAAAAUGUUUGAAAAGGAUAUUGGGAAUAAAGAGAGAAGAUGCGGGUGUGAGUAAAAUAACAAUAAAAGAAAAUUAAAUCAAAAAUAAAAAAAUAAAAAAAUAAUUAAGUUUUGGGGAGUAGAAAUCGGGAUGGAGGGGGGAGAGAGAGGUUUUUUUUUAAAAAUUUUUUAUUCGUAUUUUAAUCAAUUUUGAUAUUGUUGAGGCCCAAAAAAGUUACGGGAAGCCCAAAGACAUUUAAAGCCCAAUAUAACAUAUAUUCUCAGUCAUGCGUUAAUCCAAGCUGUAAUUCGGAUUUAAUUCAUUAAAUAAAUAUAAAAUAGUGUACAUGUCAUGCUAAACUAAUAAUACAUUUUCCCCAUGCUAAUCACCUAUCAAGCUCACAUGAACCCAAGUCAUGUGAUUUACGGGCUUGCAUGAGGGAUUGUGGUGUGGAAGGUUACGGAGGUCCACAAGGCCCACGGAAGCUCUUGGAUAACAGAGACUUUGGGCUAGCUACUUGAGAGCACCAAAGUCCAAGCCCAUUACUUAGAGUUCUCCAAUGUGGGUGAGCAAAUGAGACAUUUUUCAAGCACUGCCUUUUACCUAUAGGAAAUAGUCAUUUUCCAAAUACCAAGCUUUACCCGUUGGAAACAAGCAUUUUCCAGCACUUCCUAUUACCCAUUGGAAACAAGCAGUUUCCAGUGCUUCCUUUUACCAAUAGGAAAAAAUCUGUUUAUGAUACCUAGCUUUACCUAUUGGAAAAUAGCAUGUCCUAGUCCUCCCUUUUAACCAUUAGAAAUAGGUUGGUUCCAAUACCUCCCUUUACCUAUUGGAAAUAAAGGAAAACCCUCACCCUCUAUAAAUUGGCACUCAUGGCUCAAGCAAAAGGCACCAAUUUUUCUUCAGCCAAUACUUCCUCACUCGGCUACUGCAAGCAUCCCAGCAGCCACCAACCCCCAUAAAGCAUCACCUAGCUCCAAGCUUUUCCUUCCUUCCAAGCUUUAAACACCAUAGCCUUUAAACCUCAAGCUUUUCCUUCCAUCCUCCUUCUCUUGAAACUCUUAAAUCCCCAUAGCCAUAGCCACACACAACAAAUUAUCAACACCAAACUCAAACAUAUCCAACACCAAGCCAAGCACAUGCAUUCUCAUUUGCUAAACUUGUGGGUCUUUAGCUCCUACACUCCAAGCUCUCAUGCUAAGCUCACAUAAUCUCAUACCAACAUCAGCAAGUCAUCUUCAACUCUUCGUCGAGCUGCCGAAAACAUCAACACAAAACAUGCAGCCGUUGGAAGAAGAACAAAGUACUCUCCCGGGACUUGCUUUUCCCUUGGGACACUUUGGGCCUAGUUCUCGCUAACUCAGAUAAAGGAACAACGAAGUCUUCAUUCAUCACUCUAUGGCGACCCAAGAAUCAACAAAGCCCGGAUGAGCCUUCGAACGAAAGUGACCACAUGCAAAGCUCAAGCUUCAAUAGCCAAGCCCAAGCUUUUGGUUCCUAAAAACAUGCUUACGACAGCUGCAACAAACAAUACCUAAGUCACCAUAAGUGAUAUGCCCCAGCGUCUCAAGCACUUUCUAUGCCCUGACAAUUCUAAUGAUCAAGUUUUAGAGUCAAACCAAAAGGCCAUUGGGAUGUCUCAAUUGCCACAAUUCCAUAAUCAAUCAUCAUCAAGCCUCAAGCCUUAUUCAAGAAAUCCAAGCACUAUUCUUUACUCAAGAAGGAAAACAUCUCAGUUCGUGGCAAAUAGAAGGAAAAUACUACGAAGGUACCGGAAGAACCUAAACACUGUCAAGAUGAAGUUUCCUUUACCAAGCAAUCAAAAUUUUUGAAGUGAUGUCAAGCUAUCAAGAAAAAGAGUAAAGUCACUAUGCAACACAACAACCAAAAUAUGCUUGUAGUAACCAAGAUUCAAGCCAAGCAAAAUGUGGAAGAUAAUGAUGCGUUGUAUGAAAUGCUCCUGGAAGAUAACACAAGCCCUAUAGUCAUGCUGCCGGAAGAGUGAACCAUCAUGCCACUAAAUUUGAAAGAGGAGCCCCAUAUCUGAGUACUGGAAGGCAGCGCAGUGGACUCCAAAACUAAGAUCUAGUCCAAGUGACUUAAGGCCUCCAUAUUGCAAUGCUUAUUUGCCAACACCUAUACCGCUUUCAAGCUACUGCAGACACUAUCAUGCUCAAAUCCUUAAGCAUCUCCCAUUGUAUUUUCAUCUUCUAAUCUACCAAAGCCCUCAUGAUUGACCAAGCUAUAUCUUGAUUCAACUCCACCCACUUGCUCUUUACAGCAGCCCAGGCCCAUCUGUAGCUGCCGGAACAAAAAAGCCCCAACGUAAAUGACAAAACCGAAACACUAAAGCACAUCCACCAUGCUAAAUAGCCCAAAAGCUAUAUUAAACCACGACACUUUAGCCAAUACCAAGCGUACAAGCCAAUGCCCAGCAUCCAAGCAUACAAGCCAAAGCUUAGCGUACAAGCCAAUACUAAGCAUACAUGCCAAUGCCAAGCAUACACACCAAUGCCAAGCAUCCAAGCCAAUACCAAGCGUACAAGACAAAGCCAAGCAUACAAGUCAAUACCAAGCAUACAUGCCAAUGCUACGCGUAUACGCCAAUGCCAAGCAUCUAAGCCAAUACCAAGCAUACAAGCCAAAGCCAAGCGUACAAGCCAAUACCAAGCAUAUAUGAGCCCAAGAUCAAGCGUACAUGCCAAUGCCAAGCAUCCAAAUCAAAUACUAAGAAUACAUGUCAACAUCAAGCAUACAUGCCAACACCAAAUAUACACGUAAAAACCAAGGAAGCAAGCACGGAUGUUUCAUGCAUAUUGAAGAACCAGCCAUGUCAUGCCACUGCCAAUUAUUUUGGGCUGAAAUAGAUUAUUGGGCCCAUCUCACUGCCACUUCAUAGCCCCAAUAAUCAAGGGGGCUAAUGUUGAGGCCCAAAAAAGUUACGGGAAGCUCAAAGACAUUCAAAGCCUAAUAUAACCUAUAAUGUCACUCAUGCGUUAAUCCAAGCUGUAAUUUGGAUUUAAUUCAUUAAAUAAAUAUAGAAAUAGUGUACAUGCCAUACCAAAAUAAUAAUACAUUUUUUCCAUGCCAAUCACCUAUCAAGCUCACAUGAACCCAAGUCAUGUGGUUUAUGGGGCUUGCAAGAGGGAUUGUGGUGUGGAAGGUUACGGAGGUCCACAAGGUUCAUGGAAGCUCUUGAAUAAUGGAGACUUUGGGCUAGCUACUUGGGAGCACCAAAGUCCAAGCCCAUUACUUAGAGUUCUCUAAUGUGGGUGAGCAAAUGAGACAUUUUUUAAGCACUUCCUUUUAUCCAUAGGAAAUAGUCAUUUUCCAAAUAUCUAGCUUUACCCGUUGGAAACAAGCCUUUUCCAGCACUUCCUAUUACCCACUGGAAAUAAGCAGUUUCUAUUACUUCCUUUUACCAAUAGGAAAUAAUCUGUUUAUGGUACUAGCUUUACCUGCUGGAAAAUAGUAUGCCCUAGUGCUCCCUUUUAACCAUUAGAAAUAGGUUGGUUCCAGUACCUCCCUUUACCUAUUGGAAAUAAAGGAAAACCCUCACUCUCUAUAAAUUGGCACUCAUGGCUCAAGUAAAAGGCACCAAUUUUUCUUCAGCCAACACUCCCUAACUCAGCUGCUGCAAGCAUCCCAGCAGCCACCAACCCCCAUAAAGCAUCACCUAGCUCCAAGCUUUUCCUUCCUUCCAAGCUUUAAACACCAUAGCCUUCAAACCUCAAGCUUUUCCUUCCAUCAUCUUUCUCUUGAAACUCUUAAAUCCCCAUAGCCAUAGCCACACACAACAAAUUAUCAACACCAAACUCAAACAUAUCCAACACCAAGCCAAGCACAUGCAUUCUCAUUUGCUAAACUUGUGGGUCUUUAGCUCCCACACUCCAAGCUCUCAUGCCAAGCUCAUAUAAUCUCAUACCAACAUCAGCAAGUCAUCUUCAACUCUUCGUCGAGCUGCCGAAAACAUCAACGCAAAACACGCAGCCGAUGGAAGAAGAACAAAGUACUCUCCCGAGACUUGCUUCUCCCUCGGGAUACUUUGGGCCUAGUUCUCGCUAACUCAGACAAAGGGGCAACGAAGUCUUCAUUCAUCACUCUAUGGCGAUCCAAGAAUCAACAAAGCCCGGAUGAGCCUUCGGACGAAAAAGACCCCAACAGAUAUAAAAAUACCAUUUUUCCCCUGCAGUUAACAGAAAAGUUAACAGCCGGACCAUUUGUCCUAACGAAACUGAAGUUGAAGAACUACGGGAACCAUUUUGAAAAUUGAGGUACUCAAAUACAAAUCGGGUCUAAGUUCAGGGAUUAAUAAAACAAUUAACCCCUGAGUUUAUAAUGCUCGAGAGUAUAUAGGAAGAGGACACUCCAACUGGCAGCUAUGGAGGAGGCCAAGACUAGUAGUGUCUAUUCUGUGAAAGCUAACUUUGCUUUCUUAUUAUCCACAACUUAGAUAUAUCAAUGGCUUCUUGCAAGAACCUCAAUUCUUUAUGAACUUUCUGCCCUAAAAUGCUUUAUCUAAUAGCUCAGACAAUGGUGAAAGAAAAAAAAUUGUUGUUGGAAUCUUAGCAUAAUAAUAUUUUCCAGCCAAAAUCAGUUGUUAGAUUCUCCAACAGCACAAUCUCUUUUCGCAAUCACAUACUAGUCAAUCCUACAGAGCAUAAGAUCCUACUUUGAGGGGUGGAAAGGAAUGAAUUCAACUCACCACUAUUAUGACCAAGGCAAUAAUUUUCAUUUCCAUCACAUGAUUCUAGGUGACCCACAACUCCAUACCACCAACCUGCAAUAUAUACAGAAAAUCCUAUCAAGCAAUGGACAAUGGGAAAUUAAUUAAUUUCACCUUUUAUUUAAGUUUCUGCAUAUUAAACGAAUCUACUUUCAUUAUAUAUUUAAGGGAAAUGUAAGCCUUUUUUUUCGUUCUUUACCCUUUUUUUUCCUCACCUUAAUGGGGCUUGAGGAUGUUUGAAUUGUUCGCUAGAACUACUUUCAUUAUCUAUUUGAGGCAUACUUCAUGAACCACAUGGAUUCUAGGAAGUGAUAUAGACCUUUGUUUCUUUCAUUUGAGCCCUUCUAGCCAACCCGUAUCACUUUUAUCCCUUGUUAAUCACCUUGUGCCUUUUAUGUAAGCCUUUUUUUUCGUUCUUUACCCUUUUUUCCUCACCUUAAUCUAUCAUAUGUUACCCUUCUAAGGAGUUUUGUACAGUAUUUUCGUUGUUAAGGGAGAAUUGCACAACAAUCAUGUGGAAAGUAAAGGAUACUAUUUCCAAAAAAAAAACCUAAUUUCAAACCCUUUUCAACUCGAGUUAUUGAGCCCUAUGAGUGUUUUACAUUUAAUUUCGUAAAGCUAUGUAGCUUGGGAGUCAUUGGCCUAACACUCGCUGCAUGGGUUGAUUAGAAAGCUAAUGAAGAGUUAGAAAAAAAAAUUGUGAAAAAUAAAUAAAUUUCAAGACAGUAUCAAUAUGAAGUUGCGUGCUCAAAGUGCAAGAUGUUAUAAUUUUCAUGGAAAGCUCUAUGAAUUCCUUAGAAUUUGUUCAUCCAUAUCUUUUUCUUGUUUCACCCGUCACUCUAAGCCCCAUUACAACCUUAUUUGAAGACUAUUCUGCUAUUUUCUCAAGGCGUGCAAUAUAUGACUGGAAAGAUAAGAUAAAGACCUACAAUUUACAUAUUUUUUCAGAAUUUUCUCGGAGGAGGAAUGAUUCCAAACGUGGGUGCAAAGUAACUAACGUGUUAUCCUAGUCCAAGUAGGAAGAUGAGUCAAUUACUUACCCAUUUUGGAUUUAAGUUUUAAUUAGCUGUUUCUUUAUUUUUGGGCUGUUGUAAAAGGCCAGCUAAGGUAGGAAUAGACGUGUGGCAUUUUAUUUAAGCAUGAGACAACUCCUUUGGGAAGACGCAAAGACUAGGAGAAAUUGGAGACGCCGGAAGAGUACCACAAUUGGCUAAGUUUUAUUGUUUCUUCCUUAUGUUUUUGUUUAUGUCAAAUUCUAUGAUUAUGUGUAACUAAUUUUAUUUUGCUAGGGCAUGAUGUAUGCCUAGUAUGAUAAUCUAGUUUUCUUAUUUUACCUAUCUAUUGAUUGCAGUUUGAUGUUAGAUUCUUAAUCACUGUGCUUAGUACCUUAGUUGAUUACCUUGAUGCUUGAUCACCAUCUAGACUUUUAAUUGAGUUAAUCGGAUGCGAAUUAGAGUAAAUACCAUACUUAAUUUGAGGUUUGCUUCUUGUGAUUAGAAUUUGUAAUUUGUCUAAAGUAAAUACCAUACUCCUAGAAUUUACAUGCUUGUUGGAGGUUUUCACUGAUUUCAAUAUUUUCCCGACAUGUGAUGCCAACAACAUAGAUGUUUCAAUGUUUCACUAUGGAAGCAAUCACGUAAGGAUUAACAUGGCAGGACAUCAGACAUGAGAAACUAAGAAGAGAGAGAGAGAGAGAGAGAGAGACUUGCCAUUCAAGCAAGAGAAGGCCAUAACACUAUAUAGCAAUAGCACCGUAAAAUAAGAUGCAAAGAAUGAGGGGGUCAUGUUUUCAAGUACCAAAACACGCAAGGGCAUUUUGGUAAAGUACAUCUGAAAAUAAAUCAAGGCAAGCAAAGCCGUAGAUAUCCUCUUCCUGCUACACAUAGUAUUAGCCUACGUAAGGUCAUUACGGCGCCGUUUCCCUUUUUAAUUGGCGUAGUUCAACUCAUCAUCCACCCAAGUUCAUUUCGUUCAAAGCUAUAAAUAACCCCUCAAACCAUUCAACUUUCCCACCACCACUCCUCACUCCUUCAACUCAUUAACCUCUCUCUCUCUCUCUCUCUCUCUCUCUCUCUCUCUCAUCCGCAAAUGGCGAACCGUAGAAGCCUCUUUUCUCUCUCACUUAUCUUUGUGUUCAUGAUCAACUCAGCCAUAGCCACUCCAGUCACAUACAAUGUGGCCAGUUUAGGAGCCAAAGCAGAUGGCAAGACUGACUCCACAAAAGCCUUCCUCUCUGCAUGGGCUAAAGCUUGUGCCUCGAUGAAUCCCGGUGUCAUUUAUGUGCCGGCAGGAACGUUCUUUCUUCGCGAUGUGGUGUUCAGUGGGCCUUGCAAGAACAAUGCCAUCACCUUCCGCAUUGCCGGAACCCUUGUGGCCCCGUCGGAUUACCGGGUCAUCGGUAAUGCAGCUAACUGGAUUUUCUUUCACCAUGUAAACGGGGUUACCAUAUCAGGUGGAAUUCUUGACGGCCAAGGCACGGCCUUGUGGGCUUGCAAGGCCUCUCAUGGCGAGAGUUGUCCCAGCGGAGCAACGGUAAUUAAUUCACUACUUUAAAUAUCAUAUUCAUGACACCAUUAAAUAUCAAAUUCAUGACACCAUUAUUUUGUGCUUCAUUAUUAGUGAGAAUUUUAAAGGUCAACGUACGUACAAUUUGCUUUAUUAUUUGCUACCAAUUGAAUUGAGGGUUUAUAAAAUAAGUUCAAACUCCACAGAACGUAAUCAAAUGGACAUGAUAAAUUGUACCACAAGUUUAGCUUGAUCAAGUAAUUUCGUAAUAUGUGCAGACUUUGGGUUUUUCCGACUCAAACAACAUCGUGGUGAGUGGAUUGGCAUCCCUAAACAGCCAAAUGUUCCAUAUAGUCAUCAACGACUGCCAAAAUGUGCAAAUGCAAGGUGUCAGGGUUUCUGCUUCCGGUAAUAGCCCUAACACCGAUGGCAUUCAUGUCCAAAUGUCAUCUGGUGUCACAAUCCUCAACUCCAAGAUUGCAACCGGUGACGAUUGUGUCUCAAUUGGCCCCGGAACCUCAAAUUUGUGGAUAGAAGGCGUUGCUUGUGGACCUGGCCAUGGAAUUAGGUACGACAUCAAAAUUAUAUAUUUAUCCAUGAUUGAUUAAACUAGCUAAAUGCAUACUAUUUCAUAAUAUAUGUUAUAAUGUAUAUCUUUUUUCUUCAUUGCUUAAUGACAUUUGAACUUAGGACAUCUUUCAAUAAAGUGGAGAUUAAUUGAUUGCUAGUAGAGAUUCAUUGCCUACAAAAAGUAUAUCUUUCUUUUGGGUGGAUGUUCUAGUUGUAAAUUUAACAUUGCUUUACUUGAUGGUUCAGCAUUGGAAGUCUAGGCAAGGAGCAAGAAGAGGCCGGUGUACAAAAUGUAACAGUUAAAACGGUUACCUUUAGUGGUACUCAGAAUGGUCUAAGAAUCAAGUCAUGGGGGAGGCCAAGCACUGGGUUUGCUAGAAAUAUUCUUUUCCAACAUGCUACAAUGGUCAAUGUCGAAAAUCCUAUUGUCAUAGAUCAACAUUAUUGCCCCGACAACAAAGGGUGCCCUGGUCAGGUAAGAUAUCAUUCAUGCUCUAAAAAUCAGUUCCCAAAGUUUAAUAUUACAACUCAAUUUUCUCUUCUUCACAUUGAUAAAAACGUUGGCAUCACCAAAUUAUAACUGUCUAAGUUCGAAACAUAUCAAAAGCUUUCUUGGGCUUCCACCUAGAAGAGCCAAUAAUUUUAGGCCCAAAGCAAAUCCAAUAACUCCUUCCUCCAUGGGCUUGCUCUCCUACUACUUACAAAGAUCGAGCCUUGCUCAUUGUAACCUUUGUAACUUAUUAAUGGAAUUGAGGGUUGUAGCUCAAGUGGUUAACAACAUUUACUCUGGUAUUCGAAGUCCUAGAUUUAAUUCCCCUCUUUUCCAAUACCAUUUUUAUCAAAAUGACUUCAUCGUAGCUUAGCCAAAAAAGCAUUGAAUCCCAUUAAGCCGAAUUCCCAUGCUAUAAUACUUGUUCACCUUCUGUUUUAUCAAAAGCUGGAAAUCUGACUUCGUAUUGUUUUUUUUUUCUUUUGUCAAUUUUGUUUUUCAAUAGGUUUCCGGAGUUCAAAUUAGCGAUGUGACAUACGAAGACAUACACGGUACAUCAGCAACAGAAGUUGCAGUAAAAUUUGAUUGCAGUCCCAAGCACCCUUGCAGCGAGAUCAAAUUGGAGGAUGUGAAGCUUACUUACAAGAACCAAGCAGCUGAGUCUUCAUGUAGCCAUGCAGAUGGAACAACUGAGGGUGUGGUUCAGCCUACAAGUUGUUUGUAGAGUGGAAAAAUAUGAACUGCUUGUAGAAGUAUUGAAAUCCAAAAGUUUGCCCUCCAGUACUAAGGACAAAUGAAAAGUGAAUUAUACGAUUUAUAGGAAGAAUAAGCUUGUGGCGUUGGCAGCCUAUUUCGGCUCCCUUGAUCCUGGCCGUUCAAUUAGUUUAGUUUGUUCAAACUCGUCCACUUCGAUGGGUGUUUAUGUUAUAUGAACUGUUGUAAGAUUAUGUCCGGAAGACGUUAAAUUUACAAGAUUAAAUUUUAUUUUGAUGGCUGAUGUGGCAUUUGACAUAGAAUUCAAUAUUCUAUCAAUUUAAUUCACAAUUUUAUUAUAAUCGGAAGCACACAUUAAAUAGUAAAAAUUUGGUUCAAGAAACAAAAGGAUUUCAACACUCGCAUGAACUUUUUGGUUGGAGCAUUUUCUCAUGCCAAAUUUUACCCGUUAAAAAUUUAUUAUGGUAUUUUGACAUUUUGGUUGGAGCAUUUUCUCAUGUCAAAUUUUACCCGUUAAAAAUUUACUAUGAUAUUUUAACAUUUCGAUUGGAGAUGUAUAAAUGUUAAAUAUGCAUUGAUUCAAGAUGCAUUUUUGUUUCUUAUUCUUGAGCUUUGAGCUUUAGGUAAUUAACUUGAAUGCUGUUGGGCACCUUGCACUAGUUGAUUAAAGAAAAAUAGACCCGAAGCAAGAUUCCUUGUAGUUGCCAAUUCGAAGUUUUCUUUAUCGCUACAUACUUACUGGUCUACAACUUCUCUCUCUAAUACAUAAUUUGACAUAAAUAAAUACAAUGAAGAGUGCAUUGACUAAACAAAACAAAACAAAAAAGCAGCACGUAAGCACUUACGUGCAUUUGGUGUAAAAGCUAAAGGCCUCUGAUUUAUGUAAGCAGUUACGCUAAUCAUAUUAUAUUAUAUGUAUCUUGGCUCUGUAAUUGUAACGGAAAUAACACUGUUUUGUUAUUCUCAACCAAUAACACAAUGAUACGUGGAAAAGUUAUUUCACGUGUCAUUGCGUUAUUGGUUGAGAUAUAUCUUUCCCUUUCAAUUUUUGUAAACAUAUAUACCAAAUGUUAUGCUCAAAUAUAUAUUAAUUGUUAGACAUUGUUACCUUAAAAAAAAAAAUGUAUUGCAAAAUACAAGUUUGAUCAUAUGAUUAAUUUAAUUUUGUUGGUGUAAACGUGCAGCCAAUAUAUGGGUAUGGAGUCUCUGGGCACCCAGAUUUGAAGGCAGGUGACUUAGUUUGGGGGACUACCUAUUGGGAAGAGUACAGCCGAAUCCCUGAACCCGAAGGCCUGAUCAAAAUCCAGCACACUGAUGUACCUCUAUCCUAUUAUACUGGAAUUCUUGGUAACAAGUCAAACCUAUUUUAGAUCAUGAUGAUAUGUGUUGGUUUAGAUACGUAAGUGUAUUUUUUGUAAUUUCAUUUCAGGUAUGCCUGGUUUGACCGCUUAUGUUGGUUUCUAUGAAAUUUGUUCUCCUAAGAAAGGAGAACAUGUCUUCAUUUCAGCAGCAGCUGGUGCUGUUGGUCAGCUUGUUGGACAAUUUGCAAAAUUAAUGGGUUGUUAUGUUGUUGGAAGUGCUGGCAGUAAGGAAAAGGUACGAACUUGAGAAAUCUUUGAACUUCAAAUUAAUAUUAUCUACACCAUUUUUUCUUGUUUGGGUUGUAUUUUGCCGUUGUUAUUUGGGCCAACUUUGGUGUUGGUUUGGGUUGGGGCUUCUGUUUGUGUUGUUGAAUUGGGUCUUUUAGUUGUUUUUGUAAACUCUGACUUAACCAUUUUCUUUGCGUGUGCUAAAUUUAUAAUUUUGACCAGUGUCACGCAGGAAAUGUUUCAUGCUUUGUUAACAGGGGACUUUAGAGGAGUAUUUUAUUCAGAUGAAAAGUGAUUCAUUCCUUUCCUUUAUGGAUUCAUCUUGUUAGGUUGAUCUAUUGAAGAAUGAGCUUGGAUUUGAUGAGGCUUUUAACUAUAAAGAAGAGACUGACUUGAAUGCGGCUUUCAAAAGGUACAUAUGAGUAAUGAUAGAGAGAUUAGAUUUAUAAACCCUAGCGUACCAUGAAUACAAUGAGUUUCAACUCUAUUAGACAAGUUGUUAUUUGACAGGUGGUAUACAAAGCAAUCUAUAAAUGUGAUCUCCCUAUUAUUUUUCGUAAAAUACAUAUUUAUUAUGUUAUACUAGUUUCCUUUAGUAAGAAAAGAAAGGAAAAAAACGAUUAUAAAGAAUUUGUGUGUUGUCAGGGUUCGUUAUUCGACUGGGCCAACUCAAAAAUUUUGGGUUCGAGUCGAGCCCUCAUGGGCCUAAAUGGGCCAGACUUUUUGUUUUAGAAAGUCUUUUAAAUCUUUUUGUUACACAUUUCAUUUUUUCAAAAGUGAUGGAUAUAGAGUAUUCUUUUAAACAAUAGUAUAGAUUACUACAUAAUUUAAGAAAACAAAAAUAUAAUGGCCAAACUUUUUUACUAAACCUAGACCAAUAACCAAUAUAUUUAAAAAAUAUUAUACCUAAAAAUGAAUCUUAUAAUGUGCAAUUUGUGCCUUAAUUAACUUAUAUCCCAAAUUAGGAUUGACAUCAUGAAAAUUAAAGCAACUUGUGCCUUUAAAAUUAAUAAACCCAGAAUAAGCUUUCAAAUUCUUUAUUGAACCAUUAAAUUUGAACUUGACAAAAAAGGGGCACUAAGAGAUAUGGUGCAUAUAUUGCUUGUUUGUUACAAAAUUUUAGACAACAUUGAAAAAAUUAACUUAAUUUAUAAUAUGUGUAAACAAAAAAAAAAAAAAAAAAAAAAGCAUAAGGGGGCGGGCCUAACCAUCCUGUUAGGCCGGACUUUGGCCCAUCAGGCCUCGGACUACCCACUUCGGGGCCGCGGGCCAAAUGAUGAUCCUUAUAUGUUGUAUAUGAUGCUUUGAAGCUUGAGCUUUCUUGAGUGAAGAAUAAAUUUUCUUUGUAAUUACCAUACACUUGUCAGGUAUUUCCCUGAAGGCAUUGAUAUUUACUUUGAGAAUGUUGGAGGCAAAACGCUAGACGCAGUGCUCCUCAACAUGAGAGUCCAUGGCCGCAUUGCUGUAUGUGGAAUGGUCUCACAGUACAAUCUUGAUCAAGCAGAAAGGGUAACAAAUUUGAUGCACCUUGUGUACAAACGUAUCCGCCUCCAUCGAUUUUCGGUAAGAGAUCACUAUCACCUCCAUCCGAAAUUCGUGGAGUUUAUGCUGCCUUACAUUAGGCAAGGAAAGAUUGUUUAUGUGGAAGACAUAGUUGAAGGCCUUGAGAGUGGUCCAAGAGCGCUGGUUGGACUUUUUAAGGGUCUUAACUUUGGAAAACAAGUAGUUGACGUCUCUGCAUG
rnacentral:lncRNA from 1 species